rnacentral:rRNA from 1 species
GACGAACGCUGGCGGCGUGCUUAACACAUGCAAGUCGAACGAAGAGCGAUGGAAGCUUGCUUCUAUCAAUCUUAGUGGCGAACGGGUGAGUAACGCGUAAUCAACCUGCCCUUCAGAGGGGGACAACAGUUGGAAACGACUGCUAAUACCGCAUACGAUCUAAUCUCGGCAUCGAGGAAAGAUGAAAGGUGGCCUCUAUUUAUAAGCUAUCACUGAAGAAGGGGAUUGCGUCUGAUUAGCUAGUUGGAGGGGUAACGGCCCACCAAGGCGAUGAUCAGUAGCCGGUCUGAGAGGAUGAACGGCCACAUUGGGACUGAGACACGGCCCAGACUCCUACGGGAGGCAGCAGUGGGGAAUCUUCCGCAAUGGACGAAAGUCUGACGGAGCAACGCCGCGUGAGUGAUGACGGCCUUCGGGUUGUAAAGCUCUGUUAAUCGGGACGAAAGGCCUUCUUGCGAACAGUUAGAAGGAUUGACGGUACCGGAAUAGAAAGCCACGGCUAACUACGUG